UACGUAGGUGGCGAGCGUUGUCCGGAUUUACUGGGCGUAAAGGGCUUGUAGGCGGUCCGUUAAGUCCGAUGUGAAAUCUCCCGGCUCAACUGGGAGAGGUCAUUGGAUACUGGCUCGCUAGAGUGCGGUAGAGGAGAGUGGAAUUCCCGGUGUAGCAGUGAAAUGCGUAGAGAUCGGGAGGAACAUCAGUUGCGAAGGCGGCUCUCUGGACCAGCACUGACACUGAGGCACGAAAGCGUGGGGAGCAAACAGG
rnacentral:rRNA from 1 species